rnacentral:tmRNA from 1 species
GGGGGUGAAAUAGGUUCGACGGGGAAGCUGGACUAAGUGCCGCAGCAGAGGUGUCUUCCCUCUAUAAUCCAGGCAAGCACAUUAAGUGCCAACAACACUUCUUACGCCUACGCUGCUGCUGCCUAAUCGCAGUUAAGCACUAGGUCGGACGCCCUGCGGGGUGUCCCGUCCCUACCAUGUUUCUUCCGGUGGCAAGGUAGAGGGCGUCACGAGAACCGGGAUGCGUGAGAUUGACGCCGAUACUUUUUCACUAAGAUCAUCGGCUAGCGGCAGGUCGUACCCAGGUCUGACGGGGCUACUCCCGCGAAAUUUAAAUAGUCAGGCUAAGCUGUAGACGCGCUUAGGGGGGCUUUUUCGGACCCGACUUGCGACAGUCGGCACCUCCAUCG